AUGUAAUUAAAUUAAGUGUUUUAGGCAAAGCUGUUUUUGAAGCAAUAAAAGAAAAGAUAUACAGAAAAAUUGAAAACAUCAAACAUUUCAACAACACANGGGGUAGUUUUUAGUACGUAUGCGCCAGGGAUGGCGAAUCGUGCAUGCUGCUACUAAGACCCAGCAGUAUCUUUCGAAGAUUUUCUACCUCCAGC
rfam:Glossina palpalis gambiensis isolate 146720 unplaced genomic scaffold Scaffold322, whole genome shotgun sequence.